rnacentral:rRNA from 1 species
UACAGAGGUCCCAAGCGUUGUUCGGAUUCACUGGGCGUAAAGGGUGCGUAGGUGGUCGGGUAAGUCUGAUGUGAAAUCUCGGAGCUCAACUCCGAAACGGCAUUGGAUACUAUUCGGCUUGAGGGGUGGAGGGGGGACUGGAAUUCUCGGUGUAGCAGUGAAAUGCGUAGAUAUCGAGAGGAACACCAGUGGCGAAGGCGAGUCCCUGGACAACUCCUGACACUAAGGCACGAAAGCUAGGGGAGCAAACAGG